GGAGAGAUGGCUGAGCGGUUGAAGGCGAUGCUCUUGAAAAGCAUUGAGGGUUAACGCCCUCCGUGGGUUCGAAUCCCACUCUCUCCG
rnacentral:tRNA from 1 species